rnacentral:rRNA from 1 species
CUACCAAGACAGUGACGGUUGACGGGGAAUUAGGGUUCUAUACCGGAGAGGGAGCCUGAGAGAUAGCUCCCACGUCCAAGGACGGCAGCAGGCGCGGAAAUUGCCCACUGUUUGGAGGAGGCAGUUAUGAGACGUGAGAAAGAGUGCUUGGUAAAGAGAAGCAGGAGAAUUGGAGGGCAAGUUUGGUGCCAGCAGCCGCGGUAAUACCGACUCCAAGAGUGUGUAUGAGAGAUGCUGCAGUUAAAAAGUCCGUAGUCGUGGAGUCAGAAACAGAGGCGGAGCCUCUUGCAGAUGCUCUGGAGAAGCCAACAGGGAGGACAGUAUACCAGGGCGAGAGAUGAAAUGCCAAGACCCCUGGUGGACUAAGCGAGGCGAAAGCGGUUCUCUUGUGGGUAUUCAGUGAUCAAGGACGAAGGCUGGAGUAUCGAAAGUGAUUAGAUACCGCUGUAGUUCCAGCAGUAAAAGAUGCC